UCUUCUGUGGCACAAUGGCUCAGUGCGUCUGACUGUUAAUCAGAAGGUUGGUGGUUCAAGCCCACCCAGGGAUG